GGUUUUUUGAAAAAUAAUUUAAGAUCAGUUCUGCUCAAUGAUAAGUUAAAUAGCCGCAGUAUCUUGACUGUGCAAAGGUAGCAUAAUCAUUUGUUUUUUAAUUGAGAACUGGAAUGAAGGAAUUGAUGAAAUUAAGACUGUCUAUUAUAAAAUAUAAAAAUUUAAGUUUUAAGUAAAAAUUCUUAAAUAAGAUUAUGGGACGAGAAGACCCUAUAGAAUUUGAUAUAAUUUUUUAAAGUAUAAGGUUAUAAUGAAUAUGAUAAUAAAUAUGAAUAUAAUAAAUUUAAUAAAAUUAAUAUUUUGUUGGGAGGAUAAUUAAAUUAAAUUAACUUUAAUUUUAAAUUUAAAUAAUAUUAAACAUUAAUUUAUGAAUGAUUGAAUAAUUUUUUUAAUAAAUAUAAAAUUAAUAGAAAAUUAAUUACCUUAGGGAUAACAGCGUAAUAUUUUUAAAAAGAUCUUAUUAAUAAAAAUGUUUGCGACCUCGAUGUUGAAUUAAAAUAAAAAUUAAAUGGAGAAGUUUAAUGUUUUAGUCUGUUCGACUAUUAAAAUUUUA
rnacentral:rRNA from 1 species